rnacentral:rRNA from 1 species
AAUCAACGCUGGCGGCGUGCCUAACACAUGCAAGUCGAACGCGAGAGGGCUUCGGCCCGAUUGAGUGGCGAACGGGUGAGUAACGCGUGGGUGACCUACCUUCGAGUGGGGGAUAACGUCCCGAAAGGGACGCUAAUACCGCAUAACAUCCUGCUUUUGAAUGGGUGGAGAUCAAAGCCGGGGAUCGCAAGACCUGGCGCUUGAUGAGGGGCCCGCGUCUGAUUAGCUAGUUGGGAGGUAACGG